UCUUUAUUUUUUCUAUCUCCCCACGUGGCGUUUCUCGAUGAAUCAUCGGGGAGGCUAUCCAUAGAGAGACUCCACCGCCUGAGCUCCUGCCCGGUUGAUCCCCUGACUCGAGCGCCUAGCGUCGUCGGCCGGAGCAACCUCUCCCCUCCUGACCCCCCUAACCCGAGUUAGAGGCGCCACAUGAGCACCGGACGGAGGAGGCCAGCAGCCGGCGGCAGACGGCGCAAGGAUGGGGACGGCCACGUUAACCACGGGAGCGGCGGCGACAACGACGACUCUUCAUUUGGAUUUAACUUUGUUGAAGACUUGAUGAGAAUAAAUGGAGCCCUAUGCUGAAGCGAAGAACAGCAAUGGUCAAGAGCAGUUUCUGGCAGUAGAACUACUCUCCAUUGUCGUUUGGGUGCUCGCCAACGCGCUCUUGAGAGACGAAGGCCACCAAAAUUGUUUAGAAGGUCCCUGUUUUUGUUGAACAAUUCAACAAGAGGAAACUUGGGAAAAUAGUAGUGUCUGACAACUGCUACGUUGUUCUGUGCUGACACUUCUGAAUCACUUAAUGUAAUACCGGUUUACUGAAUAUUUGUAGUACCUCACAGGUGCUAGGCUGUUGUACUGAAUAUUUGUAGCACCUGGCAAGUGCUGUGCUGGGAUGUUGUCUAUUGACAGUUCUGAAUCGCUUGAUGCAAUAUGUUUUAUUGCCUAUUUGUUACUAGAAACAAAUCGGCAAAGCACAAGUAAUGUGUAAUACUAGCAUACCUCCCAUUUGUAAAGCAUGAUUUUGUGGUACUACUAGCAUACCUGAAAUUCAUACAAUCUUUUUAAGCCCAUGAAUGUAACGAUCAGCAAUAUGGUUGAGAAAAAUGAAUCAAUGCACUAUUUAAACUUUGUUUCAUGUUUUUUGUCAAAAGUAGCCAACACAGUUUACCUUACUCAAAAUACCCUUCCAAGCUAGAUAUAUAAUAUGUUAUUUGUUCUCUAUCACACAUUCACGUCAUUGUUGUAGUUUAACAUAGAAGCAUCAUUUUUUCUUCAACUCCUGGCUACCUCGAUGGCGUGGCGUGCCGCAGCGCCUUUCUUUGCUAGUACUAUACUAAUUCGUGAACAGCCUCAAUUUUUUACAGAAUUUUGGGCCUCCUUGGGGAUUAACGUGGUUGCGACACCUGUUAUACUAAUUGAGUUGAUUUCUUUCUGUGUACACGUUCAGUGCUCUGUAAAACUUCGUCUCUUUACCUUUCUUCGUACUACUUCAAUGUGGGCUGUUUUUGGUGUUUUGGCGUGUGGCUGUAGCAUUGCCAAAAGUAGUCAGAGCGGUGUGCAGGUUCCCACGGUGAAUAAUCCAAAGCUCCGCCGUUUAUCGAGACCGACCACCCAGUUUGCAUUCCUCCUUGCGGCCACAUGGCCGGAGCGCUGCCCCGCAACCCUCUCUCUAGCCACGCCCAGUGCCACCGCACGGCGCCACGGCUCCGGCGCCUCCCCAUCUUCAGUUUCCCGCAAACGCGAUGCGAGCCUGUGAAACCCUAGACCCAUCCUAGGCUUGGUCGCUGGCACACUGCACUUCGCCUGCAACUACUCAUCGACCUCCUCGAGCCACGGCCGGUUCGUCUUCUCUUCCGUGGAGCUCCCUUGUGUACUGGCUUCGUCCUGUUAGACCUUCUCUGGUUGGAGGCCGAGCCCGCGUUAUCGCGGCGAAGAAGCACACUCGCCACUCGGCCGUCUUGCUUUCCCUGGUGGCCGUCGCGUGUGCCUCCUCGCCGAAGGUGCCGAGUAAAUUGAGGGAGCAACACGUCCCCUCCCCUUCCGGCACCGUGCAAGUGGGAUGCUUCUCCCCAGUUCUUCCUUCUCUCUCCCAAGAUGUGGAUCGAAAAAAUGAUAUGGGGGCUCUCGAGCUCCGGCGAGAAGAAAGGGGUGGGCGGUGCAGCACAAAUCCAAGUGCACUUGCCAGGGCGGCCGGCGCAGGCGCAACAGGUUUGUGACUUUGUUACUGUAGCGCUGCGGCCCAAGAUCUUGACUGCCGGUGGCGGUCGCUCGACAGUAUGGGGCUUGCCACACCACAGGCGGGUGGGGGACGGGAGUCUCCGCUGGGUUCAGGGUGCUGCAGCGGAUUGCUGCCCUCCAGGAAUUCCUCUCCUCCACCUUGCUACUCUCGUGGAUCUGGAGGAGCGCGGGUCGUUCACAGCCGCUUUUCACCCCCAAAAAUCCUGGGCUGUAGCUGCAUCUUCCCAUCUUGGUCAGAAGGAGAGAAGGGCCGGCAGAUCUGGGUUGGCCCCGACGGUUAUGCUGCAAACGUAUCGUCGGGAGUCACAACUACCGAUGGAUCCACCUCAGUUGUGUACGUGAGUUCCCCAUCUUCUUAUUCUCUUUCCCAUGCCCUCUACAAUUGAAUAAGGAGCACCUACUUGCGCAUUGCUUCCGUUUUUUAUUAUUAUGUUUCAUAUCCUCUUGGUACAUUCCCAGAUGAUUAUCUAGACGACCAUGUAAGCUGGAAUCUUGAGAUAUUCAACACGUACUUGUUAUUAAUUUUCUACAAAUUUGUCAAGUUAUUGGAGGAAAAUCAAAAUGUAUGUAUGUAGAAAUAUAUGUUUAGUACAUUAUUCCCCUGGCUUCUAUAGAUGUACGAACAUGUAUGCUUAUUUGAAAAUCUUUUGAGCAAUAUGCCUAUUUACUUUCAGCUAUUCGGCAGCAGGUAAUAUACAAAUCAAUUUUUUGCUGGAUAUUUCUCUGUUUUUAUGGUAAAGCUUACAAGCUAUGUCAUCAAUGAAUAUUGCGUUUUGCACUAUAGAGGCCAGUUCAACCAGCGGGUGAAUCACUCAAUGAUGGCGCAAGCAUUGCCUUAGAGGUUAUAAUGGUUUGUGCAAGAAGAAGUAUCAUGCAUGCUUCAAGACUUUGAUUGGCGGCUUAUAUUCUGUAAAAAAAAGAAUCUUGGAAAAACAUUUUGAAGUGAUUCUUACUGGAAAUAUGCAAAGCAUUUAUCCCAAGUGUAGUUAUUUCAUGUUUCUAAAAAAUAUUCCACUAUUGCCUCUUAUGCAGGUUUAUCUGAAUGGAGCAUGAUAAUUUGUUUAAGAUCUAUUAGGUAUCCUUGAAGAUUCGAUCCAAGAUUUAUAUUGUGAGACCAAAUAUUCAUGAACAGAAUUAAAGGUGAUUUCUUAAUGGAAACACAUCAAACAUUUCUUUGAGGGAAAAUGAGUCUGAUGGUUCAAUUAUUUUUUACAAUAUUUUCGUGAGAAUUAAGCAAAGUUACUACCAUGUUGUAGAAUUUAGCUGGUUUAUGGAGCAUUUUGGUGGUGGUACUGAAUGAAUUCGCCUGUUUUACUUCCUUCCAAUCAUGCCCCUAUUCCAAAUACAGUUGUCAUGCUAGGUAAAGCAUGUUGUGGCCAAUAACAUAGUUUUGUGUGCCACAAUGAUACAUUUGUGUCUCUAAACUGGAUCUGCUGACUAAAUUGUGCAUCCCUCAUUUACUAACCUAUCUAAGUGAUUUUUUUCUAUGGUUUGUCUGUAUAAUAUGAUACAAUGCUUAUAUGUAUCUCUAGCUGCUGAUGUAAUUACUUCCAAGAACACCUUAGUUGAGCAGUCAUGAGAAUAUGACAUUAUGCCAGAGCCGAGAUCAUCCAUAUGGUCAGUUUUUAGCCGAGACAGGACGAGCGGACCAGCCAGCGUGGGCUCCACCAAUAUUCCCAUGUGUUGUGCCAAGUGCCAACAACUCGACGGACUAGGUUGCUGCCAUUGAAAGCUAGAACCGAAUGAAUCUGAGCCUUUCACUCUUCUCAUUGCACUCAUUAAUGAUAUUUGUAAGACGAAACACAAUUGAGAGAGGAGAGUAGUCACAACACAUUUCGAUUAUUGAAACAAGUGGGGCUUAUAUAGCAGAUGUACAAGGGCAUCAUUGGUGCUAACUGACUCGAUGUUAGUCUAGCUAGAAAUCUCAAAUUACAGAUCAAAGCUAUCAUGCUAAUCCUGUACAGGAUUACGUCUAAGAGACGUUAGUUCAAAUAAAGUAUACAAGUUGCUGUAUAGAUAUUAUGUCUGGUCCCUCCUAUCACAGUUUGGUGCACUAGAGUUGAGCCUUAUGAUGCAAAUGGCAAUGGACUUAUACUAGCAUACAGGGAGAGUUCUAAUUAACAUUCUAUAUCGCCAGAUCGGAGACACCAUCGAGGUAUAUAUGGCGUGCACAUCAUAAUGGGAGAUGAUAUGAGAGCACUGUCCCAAUCAGGACAACCAAGAAGGAUUGCCUGCUUUGUCCAUGCGGGUGUACGGGGAUGACAUAACAUGCGUGAGUACUCGAUGAUCAUAAUUGGUCGGCAGAUUGCAUCCAAACUUUGGCAGAUUCAUGAUACAAUAUGUUGACAUGAGAACUUUGUGGUCAGCUGGCAUCUGUACUAGAUUGAGAUAGUUACUAAAAGAUCUAGAGAAAUCUUACAAAAGAAAAAAUACACAAGACGCAUCUCACCAAAUUAAUCAAAUUCACACAGCGGGAUUUCUGAGACAUAAGCCAAUGUAUUAUGAAAUAGCACUGUACGUGGUAUUACCAUUUAAAAGCCUAUAAAAAUGACUGGAUGGUCUAUCCAUAUUAUAGAUCUUAACUAGACCUUUAAUAUCCAACAUGCUAUUAUUAUCACCAGGAUUUUCUUCACCCGGUUUUUACUUCAUUGGUUGUCAUAUCAAGUCUUUUGUUAUUAUCUUCCUUCAAAGAAUCGUAAACAUCAAUUAUCUCAUCAACUUCUCUCACAAAAUCAGCCCCUUUGCCAUGCCUCUUAGCAAACAGAGACAUCCUUUUCUCUUCAGUGAAUGUCUCCAGUUUUACAAAGCUACAAAGCUACAGAAAGCACUAGAGUAAAAAAGAACCAGUAGUCACACAUACAAAGAAAAAAAGUAGAUGAUGUGUCUUAGUUAAGGUAACUCAGUUCCAUAAUACAUUCUAUGUAGUAUGUACUGCUAGGUCAAAACUCAAUACAAAAGGAUCCCCUCAUAAUUGUUACAGCUCAUAUUUCAAUGCAUAGUCAGCUCUAGGUAAAAAUUUGGUGUUCCACUUUUUUGUUGUUGAUACUUAGCGAUAUAGCACUAUCCUCUCUUUUCAUAACCUAGCUACAUACUUGCACACAAAUAGCAAGGAGAUCACGACUGAGAGAAAGUCUCUGACAACUCCAUCCCCUCAGAAAGAAAGCGAGAAGGCAGAGCGUGAAUGGUCCUCCGUCAUGCUUUCCUUCAUCGAACAACACAAGCAAGAUGGCAUCAACAUCUCAAAAAAACAGAGGGAAAAACAAAAAUAAGGCCGCACAGGACUUCGAAGGACAGAGACUAGGAACAGCAAAGCACGGCAGACCUCCUAAGGUUGGACUUAUGCGCCAGGAGUCAGAUUCAACCGCCGCUUCAUGCGUAGGGUAACAGGUAGCCCUUUUGACCCACUCAAGAUCCCCAAAUCGUUACAUAAGCAUAUCACUGGGAAUUUCCCUCGGAAAAUUGGGAACACGGUUGGAAAGUUUGUCCGGUGGAGUGGACGAACUGCAUCUUCAUAGAACAUGGGUGGGAUGAUUUUGUGGAUGGGAUGAUUUCGUGGAAGCCAACGACAUUCCAGUAUGUGAUAUAUUCAUCUUUAACUACACCGUGAAUUGAACACUCAAAGGAGCCAUUCUCUGGUACAAUGGAUGCGAGAAGAUCCAAAACACAAUACCAAGAGAUCAGCCUGAAAUAACCUUUUAUCUAUCUGUACAUCAAUCUAUGCUACUGCUUAAUUAAGUUCUAUAUAUGUAAUAUUUCUUCUGUAUUGCCCUAUAAAACCACCAACUGAUGAUCAAUAGGAAGUACCAGUUAUUAUUACCAGACUGAGUUUCUAUUCCUUUCUAAUACCCGCUUAUGUACUCUAUCCUCAAGAUCAACUU